rnacentral:rRNA from 1 species
AACGAACGCUGGCGGCAUGCCUAACACAUGCAAGUCGAACGAGACCUUCGGGUCUAGUGGCGCACGGGUGCGUAACGCGUGGGAACCUGCCCUUAGGUUCGGAAUAACUCCCCGAAAGGGGUGCUAAUACCGGAUAAUGUCUUCGGACCAAAGAUUUAUCGCCUUUGGAUGGGCCCGCGUUGGAUUAGCUAGUUGGUAGGGUAAAAGCCUACCAAGGCGACGAUCCAUAGCUGGUCUGAGAGGAUGAUCAGCCACACUGGGACUGAGACACGGCCCAGACUCCUACGGGAGGCAGCAGUGGGAAUAUUGGACAAUGGGCGAAAGCCUGAUCCAGCAAUGCCGCGUGAGUGAUGAAGGCCUUAGGGUUGUAAAGCUCUUUUACCCGGGAUGAUAAUGACAGUACCGGGAGAAUAAGCUCCGGCUAACUCCGU